rnacentral:rRNA from 1 species
GGGCCCGCACAAGCGGUGGAGUAUGUGGUUUAAUUCGAUGCAACGCGAAGAACCUUACCAGGGUUUGACAUCCUGCGAAUCUCUUGGAAACGAGAGAGUGCCUUCGGGAGCGCAGUGACAGGUGGUGCAUGGCUGUCGUCAGCUCGUGUCGUGAGAUGUUGGGUUAAGUCCCGCAACGAGCGCAACCCACGUCUUUAGUUGCCAGCAUUUAGUUGGGCACUCUAGAGAGACCGCCGGUGACAAACCGGAGGAAGGUGUGGAUGACGUCAAGUCAUCAUGCCCCUUACGUCCUGGGCUACACACGUACUACAAUGCUACGGACAAAGGGCAGCAAGUUCGCGAGGACAAGCAAAUCCCAUAAACCGUGGCUCAGUUCAGAUCGUAGGCUGCAACUCGCCUACGUG